AGAGUUUGAUCAUGGCUCAGAUUGAACGCUGGCGGCAGGCCUAACACAUGCAAGUCGAGCGGUAGCACAGAGAGCUUGCUCUCGGGUGACGAGCGGCGGACGGGUGAGUAAUGUCUGGGAAACUGCCUGAUGGAGGGGGAUAACUACUGGAAACGGUAGCUAAUACCGCAUAACGUCGCAAGACCAAAGUGGGGGACCUUCGGGCCUCAUGCCAUCAGAUGUGCCCAGAUGGGAUUAGCUAGUAGGUGGGGUAACGGCUCACCUAGGCGACGAUCCCUAGCUGGUCUGAGAGGAUGACCAGCCACACUGGAACUGAGACACGGUCCAGACUCCUACGGGAGGCAGCAGUGGGGAAUAUUGCACAAUGGGCGCAAGCCUGAUGCAGCCAUGCCGCGUGUGUGAAGAAGGCCUUCGGGUUGUAAAGCACUUUCAGCGGGGAGGAAGGCGNNCGAUUGACGUUACCCGCAGAAGAAGCACCGGCUAACUCCGUGCCAGCAGCCGCGGUAAUACGGAGGGUGCAAGCGUUAAUCGGAAUUACUGGGCGUAAAGCGCACGCAGGCGGUCUGUCAAGUCGGAUGUGAAAUCCCCGGGCUCAACCUGGGAACUGCAUUCGAAACUGGCAGGCUAGAGUCUUGUAGAGGGGGGUAGAAUUCCAGGUGUAGCGGUGAAAUGCGUAGAGAUCUGGAGGAAUACCGGUGGCGAAGGCGGCCCCCUGGACAAAGACUGACGCUCAGGUGCGAAAGCGUGGGGAGCAAACAGGAUUAGAUACCCUGGUAGUCCACGCCGUAAACGAUGUCGAUUUGGAGGUUGUGCCCUUGAGGCGUGGCUUCCGGAGCUAACGCGUUAAAUCGACCGCCUGGGGAGUACGGCCGCAAGGUUAAAACUCAAAUGAAUUGACGGGGGCCCGCACAAGCGGUGGAGCAUGUGGUUUAAUUCGAUGCAACGCGAAGAACCUUACCUGGUCUUGACAUCCACAGAACUUNUUGGUGCCUUCGGGAACUGUGAGACAGGUGCUGCAUGGCUGUCGUCAGCUCGUGUUGUGAAAUGUUGGGUUAAGUCCCGCAACGAGCGCAACCCUUAUCCUUUGUUGCCAGCGGUUAGGCCGGGAACUCAAAGGAGACUGCCAGUGAUAAACUGGAGGAAGGUGGGGAUGACGUCAAGUCAUCAUGGCCCUUACGACCAGGGCUACACACGUGCUACAAUGGCAUAUACAAAGAGAAGCGACCUCGCGAGAGCAAGCGGACCUCAUAAAGUAUGUCGUAGUCCGGAUUGGAGUCUGCAACUCGACUCCAUGAAGUCGGAAUCGCUAGUAAUCGUAGAUCAGAAUGCUACGGUGAAUACGUUCCCGGGCCUUGUACACACCGCCCGUCACACCAUGGGAGUGGGUUGCAAAAGAAGUAGGUAGCUUAACCUUCGGGAGGGCGCUUACCACUUUGUGAUUCAUGACUGGGGUGAAGUCGUAACAAGGUAACCGUAGGGGAACCUGCGGUUG
rnacentral:rRNA from 1 species